CUGAAGUCUAAAGAUACCAAUUGGAAUACAUUAUCCACAGUUACCAGCUGUGGAAUUUUGAGCAUAAGUAAGUUACUAAUCUCUUAGUCUUACUUGCUCAUCUGUUGCCAAGAGCUGGAAGAAGAUGGCCUCUGCAGGGUCACCUUCCAAGUCCCUCAGGAAGGCAACUAACGGGAGGAACUUAAUGUGCAUCCAGAGACCAAGAUGGCGGGAGUGUGGGAAACGUGGCUUUUAGCAUGCCAGCACCUUCCAAAGGGAAGAUAGGUGGAAUGGAGGUGAAGGGACCGAUGCAAAGUGCUAAACACAAGUUUAAAAUUUGGACUAUGGCUGUUUACAAGGAAGAAUCAAUGUCUUCACACAGGGAGAUCUUUAAAGGCUUUAUUAAAAUGCAGAGAAGGCUUUCCAACAAGGAUGCGAGGGCAGAUGGAAGUGAGAGGCCUUCAUAACGAGAUUAAGCAGAUGGGAAAGUUUACGACUAAUGAGAAGGGCAAAAGGACGCUAAAAGUGAUCAUUUUCUUGAAAUUAUAGUGAGGAGAAGGAUCUGUGCUUUACGUCUUGGGAACCUCCUCUGGUCAUGAACUCAGAAUGGGAAUUUUUUCCAGUAUUCUCUGGGGUAGCUGCUUUCAGAAAGAGGCGGAAAGGCAUGACACUACUUUAAGGUGUUCUAACAGUCUAUCAGAGUCUGCGAUUCAGCCACUUAGAACUUUCAAGACAGUGUGUUGAAGGUAUGGAUGGGACUGAGGAAGAAUACAAUGGGAUAAAUUCUGUGAAUUUCAAGGCUAAUUAAUCUCAAGAAGUUUAUCAUUGAUGACAGCUGCUACGGCUUGAUCCUGCUCUUGCAAGGUUUGCACAUUACUAGAUUCCAGUUGGCAGAGUUUUAAGUGAAGUCUUCUUCUAUUUCAAGACAAGGGAAAUAUGAAAAGGGGUGUAUGUUGGAUCCAAUUUAGGCGCCUCCCCAGAUGCACUCUAUCUAGUAUGUCUUCUGGGCAUGCUUCUAACACAGAGCUCCCGUGCCCACUGUCACCACAUCUCCUGCCCACAGAGAUUAUGGUCUAAUUUUGGUCCAGGAUUUUAUAAUAAAGAUAAUAGAACAACAAAAAUGACCAAAUGUGUGACCUCACCAGAAUUUUCAUGUUGAAGUCAG
rnacentral:lncRNA from 1 species